rnacentral:tRNA from 1 species
ACCUGGCUAGCUCUCUUGGUAGGGCAUGAGACUUUUAAUCUCAGGGUCAUGGGUUCAAGCCCCCUGCUGGGUG